GCCCCGGCCCCAGCUGGGGCUGCUCCCCGGGGAAGGCCUAGUUUCCUCCUCCUUCCUGUCCCGGCUUUACCUCCGCCGGGCUCCACGGCCGCCGGAGCCCCGGGCAGAGACGGGGCGAGGACACUCACCUGGCCGGUGUCACAUGCUGCUUCGGCCCAGGAGUCCCCUCCAGGUGCCAGGCGCCGGCCGCAGUGCCCAGCGCAGGCCCGGCCGCCCCAGCCGCCGCACCCGCGGCCCGCCCGACGGGAGGGAGGGAUCGGGUCCUCCUAGGAAGUUUCAGUUUUGGUCUGCAUCGGUUAUGGACUUGAUCUCUCUGCAAAGGUUUGGGACAGGCGUUGUUAGAGUUUAAGGUAUCUAGGACUCUUAACCCUUAUCAAAACAGGUCCCUUAAUACCUGCUAUUCACAACCUAUACAUGUGAACAUAUGCAUCUGCAGGGAAAUGAAGAGUCCACUUUUCGGCGAGGUCACUAAAACCUUCAUGCGUCUUUUCAACACACAUGAAGAUCUUGGAAACCACAUAGAAAUGAUGGUAGAUCCAUGAGAUGUAAGGACCCUGGGUCCCUGAGUUCCUGAUUGAUGGCAUGCUGCCUGCUGGUCAGGAACACCUGCUCUGAGUGAGAAAUAAACACUUGUUUCCUGUAAAAUUUUCAAA